rnacentral:tRNA from 3 species
GGCGAGAUGGCCGAGCGGUCUAAGGCGCCAGACUAAGGAUCAGCUCAUUUGAUGAGCAACCAAUCAAUCUGGUCUUUCGGGGCGUGGGUUCGAAUCCCACUCUCGUCA